rnacentral:rRNA from 2 species
GGUCAAGUGAAGAAGCGCAUACGGUGGAUGCCUUGGCAGUCAGAGGCGAUGAAAGACGUGGUAGCCUGCGAAAAGCUUCGGGGAGUCGGCAAACAGACUGUGAUCCGGAGAUGUCUGAAUGGGGGAACCCAGCCAUCAUAAGAUGGUUAUCUUGUACUGAAUACAUAGGUGCAAGAGGCGAACCAGGGGAACUGAAACAUCUAAGUACCCUGAGGAAAAGAAAUCAACCGAGAUUCCCUUAGUAGUGGCGAGCGAACGGGGACCAGCCCUUAAGUUGUAUUGAGAUUAGCGGAACGUUCUGGAAAGGACGGCCAUAGUGGGUGAUAGCCCCGUACGCGAAAAUCCCUUUGCAAUGAAAUCGAGUAGGACGGGGCACGAGAAACCUUGUCUGAAUAUGGGGGGACCAUCCUCCAAGGCUAAAUACUACUGACUGACCGAUAGUGAACCAGUACCGUGAGGGAAAGGCGAAAAGAACCGCGGAGAGCGGAGUGAAAUAGAUCCUGAAACCGUAUGCGUACAAGCAGUGGGAGCCCACUUGUUGGGUGACUGCGUACCUUUUGUAUAAUGGGUCAGCGACUUAUUUUCAGUGGCGAGCUUAACCGAAUAGGGGAGGCGUAGCGAAAGCGAGUCUUAAUAGGGCGUCUAGUCGCUGGGAAUAGACCCGAAACCGGGCGAUCUAUCCAUGGGCAGGUUGAAGGUUGGGUAACACUAACUGGAGGACCGAACCGACUACCGUUGAAAAGUUAGCGGAUGACCUGUGGAUCGGAGUGAAAGGCUAAUCAAGCUCGGAGAUAGCUGGUUCUCCUCGAAAGCUAUUUAGGUAGCGCCUCAUGUAUCACUGUAGGGGGUAGAGCACUGUUUCGGCUAGGGGGUCAUCCCGACUUACCAAACCGAUGCAAACUCCGAAUACCUACAAGUGCCGAGCAUGGGAGACACACGGCGGGUGCUAACGUCCGUCGUGAAAAGGGAAACAACCCAGACCGUCAGCUAAGGUCCCAAAGUCAUGGUUAAGUGGGAAACGAUGUGGGAAGGCUUAGACAGCUAGGAGGUUGGCUUAGAAGCAGCCACCCUUUAAAGAAAGCGUAAUAGCUCACUAGUCGAGUCGGCCUGCGCGGAAGAUGUAACGGGGCUCAAACCAUGCACCGAAGCUACGGGUAUCAUCUUUUGAUGAUGCGGUAGAGGAGCGUUCUGUAAGCCUGUGAAGGUGAGUUGAGAAGCUUGCUGGAGGUAUCAGAAGUGCGAAUGCUGACAUGAGUAACGACAAUGGGUGUGAAAAACACCCACGCCGAAAGACCAAGGUUUCCUGCGCAACGUUAAUCGACGCAGGGUUAGUCGGUCCCUAAGGCGAGGCUGAAAAGCGUAGUCGAUGGAAAACAGGUUAAUAUUCCUGUACUUCUGGUUAUUGCGAUGGAGGGACGGAGAAGGCUAGGCCAGCCUGGCGUUGGUUGUCCAGGUUUAAGGUGGUAGGCUGAGAUCUUAGGUAAAUCCGGGAUCUUAAGGCCGAGAGCUGAUGACGAGUGUUCUUUUAGAACACGAAGUGGUUGAUGCCAUGCUUCCAAGAAAAGCUUCUAAGCUUCAGGUAACCAGGAACCGUACCCCAAACCGACACAGGUGGUUGGGUAGAGAAUACCAAGGCGCUUGAGAGAACUCGGGUGAAGGAACUAGGCAAAAUGGCACCGUAACUUCGGGAGAAGGUGCGCCGGUGGAGGUGAAGCAUUUACUGCGUAAGCCCCUGCCGGUCGAAGAUACCAGGCCGCUGCGACUGUUUAUUAAAAACACAGCACUCUGCAAACACGAAAGUGGACGUAUAGGGUGUGACGCCUGCCCGGUGCCGGAAGGUUAAUUGAUGGGGUUAGCGCAAGCGAAGCUCUUGAUCGAAGCCCCGGUAAACGGCGGCCGUAACUAUAACGGUCCUAAGGUAGCGAAAUUCCUUGUCGGGUAAGUUCCGACCUGCACGAAUGGCGUAACGAUGGCGGCGCUGUCUCCACCCGAGACUCAGUGAAAUUGAAAUCGCUGUGAAGAUGCAGUGUAUCCGCGGCUAGACGGAAAGACCCCGUGAACCUUUACUAUAGCUUUGCACUGGACUUUGAAUUUGCUUGUGUAGGAUAGGUGGGAGGCUUUGAAGCGUGGACGCCAGUCUGCGUGGAGCCAACCUUGAAAUACCACCCUGGCAACUUUGAGGUUCUAACUCAGGUCCGUUAUCCGGAUCGAGGACAGUGUAUGGUGGGUAGUUUGACUGGGGCGGUCUCCUCCUAAAGAGUAACGGAGGAGUACGAAGGUGCGCUCAGACCGGUCGGAAAUCGGUCGUAGAGUAUAAAGGCAAAAGCGCGCUUGACUGCGAGACAGACACGUCGAGCAGGUACGAAAGUAGGUCUUAGUGAUCCGGUGGUUCUGUAUGGAAGGGCCAUCGCUCAACGGAUAAAAGGUACUCCGGGGAUAACAGGCUGAUACCGCCCAAGAGUUCAUAUCGACGGCGGUGUUUGGCACCUCGAUGUCGGCUCAUCACAUCCUGGGGCUGAAGCCGGUCCCAAGGGUAUGGCUGUUCGCCAUUUAAAGUGGUACGCGAGCUGGGUUUAGAACGUCGUGAGACAGUUCGGUCCCUAUCUGCCGUGGACGUUUGAGAUUUGAGAGGGGCUGCUCCUAGUACGAGAGGACCGGAGUGGACGAACCUCUGGUGUUCCGGUUGUCACGCCAGUGGCAUUGCCGGGUAGCUAUGUUCGGAAAAGAUAACCGCUGAAAGCAUCUAAGCGGGAAACUUGCCUCAAGAUGAGAUCUCACUGGAACCUUGAGUUCCCUAAAGGGCCGUCGAAGACUACGACGUUGAUAGGUUGGGUGUGUAAGCGCUGUGAGGCGUUGAGCUAACCAAUACUAAUUGCCCGUGAGGCUUGACCAU